rnacentral:rRNA from 1 species
GCAUAUCAAUAAGCGGAGGAAAAGAAACCAACAGGGAUUGCCCUAGUAACGGCGAGUGAAGCGGCAACAGCUCAAAUUUGAAAUCUGGCUCUCGGGCCCGAGUUGUAAUUUGUAGAGGAUACUUUUGAUGCGGUGCCUUCCGAGUUCCCUGGAACGGGACGCCAUAGAGGGUGAGAGCCCCGUCUGGUUGGAUGCCAAAUCUCUGUAAAGUUCCUUCGACGAGUCGAGUAGUUUGGGAAUGCUGCUCUAAAUGGGAGGUAUAUGUCUUCUAAAGCUAAAUAUUGGCCAGAGACCGAUAGCGCACAAGUAGAGUGAUCGAAAGAUGAAAAGCACUUUGAAAAGAGAGUUAAAAAGUACGUGAAAUUGUUGAAAGGGAAGCGUUUAUGACCAGACUUGGACUUGGUUAAUCAUCUGGGGUUCUCCCCAGUGCACUUUUCCAGUUCAGGCCAGCAUCAGUUUUCGCCGGGGGAUAAAGGCAGCGGGAAUGUGGCUCUCUUCGGGGAGUGUUAUAGCCCGUUGUGUAAUACCCUGGUGGGGACUGAGGUUCGCGCUUCUGCAAGGAUGCUGGCGUAAUGGUCAUCAACGACCCGUCUUGAAACACGGACCAAGGAGUCGUCUUCGUAUGCGAGUGUUCGGGUGUCAAACCCCUACGCGUAAUGAAAGUGAACGCAGGUGAGAGCUUCGGCGCAUCAUCGACCGAUCCUGAUGUUCUCGGAUGGAUUUGAGUAAGAGCAUACGGGGCCGGACCCGAAAGAAGGUGAACUAUGCCUGUAUAGGGUGAAGCCAGAGGAAACUCUGGUGGAGGCUCGCAGCGGUUCUGACGUGCAAAUCGAUCGUCAAAUAUGGGCAUGGGGGCGAAAGACUAAUCGAACCUUCUAGUAGCUGGUUUCCGCCGAA